GUGGGGAAUAUUGGACAAUGGGCGAAAGCCUGAUCCAGCCAUGCCGCGUGUGUGAAGAAGGUCUUCGGAUUGUAAAGCACUUUUGUCCGGAAAGAAAUCUCCUGGGUUAAUACCUCGGGGGGAUGACGGUACCGGAAGAAUAAGCACCGGCUAACUACGUGCCAGCAGCCGCGGUAAUACGUAGGGUGCGAGCGUUAAUCGGAAUUACUGGGCGUAAAGCGUGCGCAGGCGGCUCUGCAAGACAGAUGUGAAAGCCCCGGGCUCAACCUGGGAACUGCAUUUGUGACUGCAAGGCUAGAGUGCGUCAGAGGGAGGUGGAAUUCCGCGUGUAGCAGUGAAAUGCGUAGAGAUGCGGAGGAACACCGAUGGCGAAGGCAGCCUCCUGGGAUGACACUGACGCUCAUGCACGAAAGCGUGGGGAGCAAACAGGAUUAGAAACCCUGGUAGUCC
rnacentral:rRNA from 1 species